ACAGUGGACGCGAGCAUCUGUGGCCAAGUUUUUAAGGGCGCACGGUGGAUGCCUUGGCACCAGGAACCGAUGAAGGACGUGGGAGGCCGCGAUAGGCCCCGGGGAGCUGUCAACCGAGCUUUGAUCCGGGGGUGUCCGAAUGGGGAAACCCGGCAGUCGUCAUGGGCUGUCACCCGCUGCUGAACACAUAGGCAGUGUGGAGGGAACGCGGGGAAGUGAAACAUCUCAGUACCCGCAGGAAGAGAAAACAACCGUGAUUCCGGGAGUAGUGGCGAGCGAAACUGGAUGAGGCCAAACCAGUCACGUGUGAUACCCGGCAGGGGUUGCGUGGUUGGGGUUGUGGGAUCUCUUUUCUGCAGUCUGCCGGCUGUGGGACGAGUCAGAAACCGUUGAUGUAGGCGAAGGACAUGCGAAAGGUCCGGCGUAGAGGGUAAGACCCCCGUAGCUGAAACAUUGACGGCUCGUUUAAGAGACACCCAAGUAGCACGGGGCCCGAGAAAUCCCGUGUGAAUCUGGCGGGACCACCCGUUAAGCCUAAAUAUUCCCUGGUGACCGAUAGCGGAUAGUACCGUGAGGGAAUGGUGAAAAGUACCGCGGGAGCGGAGUGAAAUAGUACCUGAAACCGUGUGCCUACAAGCCGUGGGAGCGUCGCACAUCGAGCUUGCUCGGUGUGUCGUGACUGCGUGCCUUUUGAAGAAUGAGCCUGCGAGUUUGCGGUAUGUUGCGAGGUUAACCCGUGUGGGGAAGCCGUAGCGAAAGCGAGUCCGAAUAGGGCGUUGAGUAGCGUGCCCAAGACCCGAAGCGGAGUGAUCUAGCCAUGGGCAGGUUGAAGCGGAGGUAAGACUUCGUGGAGGACCGAACCCACCAGGGUUGAAAACCUGGGGGAUGACCUGUGGUUAGGGGUGAAAGGCCAAUCAAACUCCGUGAUAGCUGGUUCUCCCCGAAAUGCAUUUAGGUGCAGCGUCGUGUGUUUCUUGCCGGAGGUAGAGCACUGGAUAGGCGAUGGGCCCUACCGGGUUACUGACCUUAGCCAAACUCCGAAUGCCGGUAAGUGAGAGCGCGGCAGUGAGACUGUGGGGGAUAAGCUCCAUGGUCGAGAGGGAAACAGCCCAGAGCAUCGACUAAGGCCCCUAAGCGUGUGCUAAGUGGGAAAGGAUGUGGAGUCGCAGAGACAACCAGGAGGUUGGCUUAGAAGCAGCCAUCCUUGAAAGAGUGCGUAAUAGCUCACUGGUCAAGUGAUUCCGCGCCGACAAUGUAGCGGGGCUCAAGCACACCGCCGAAGUCGUGUCAUUGCAGCAUAAGGACCAACGUCCGUUGUGAUGGGUAGGGGAGCGUCGUGUGCCGGGUGAAGCAGCCGUGGAAACGAGUUGUGGACGGUUCACGAGUGAGAAUGCAGGCAUGAGUAGCGAUACAAGAGUGGGAAACUCUUGCGCCGAUUGACUAAGGGUUCCUGGGUCAAGCUGAUCUGCCCAGGGUAAGUCGGGACCUAAGGCGAGGCCGACAGGCGUAGUCGAUGGAUAACCGGUUGAUAUUCCGGUACCCGCUUUGAAGCGCCAAAUAUCGAGCCCAUUAAUGCUAAGGCCGUGAAGCCGUCCUGGAUCCUUCGGGUGAAGGGGAGUGGUGGAGCCGCUGAACCAAGGUGGUAGUAGGUAAGUGAUGGGGUGACGCAGGAAGGUAGUCCAGCCCGGGCGGUGGUUGUCCCGGGGUAAGGGUGUAGGACGUGGGGUAGGUAAAUCCGCCU
rnacentral:rRNA from 1 species